GCCACACGCGACAAACCCGCCCCAUUCAGGGGGUGCUGGGGGUGGGGGGGGGUUGGGGUGUCAGAGCCCCCUCACCCCCACCCUGGAUCUGCUCAGCCCCCCCCAGCAGCUGCGAUCGGUGCCCGAUGCUUUUGGCGUUGCAAACUGCAGCAACGCCGGUGGAGGGGCGGGGGGGCUCAGGGACCCGAAAAUGUCCUGCAGCCCCCGAAAAUGGCGCCGGGGUGCAGCAGCUCCGAGGGUGCAGCAGCUCUAGGGGUGCAGCAGCUCCGGGGGUGCAGCAGCUCCGGGGGUGCAGCAGCUCUAGGGGUGCAGCAGCUCUAGGGGUGCAGCAGCUCCGGGGGUGCAGCCCCGAUGCCCUAAAGCAAACCACCCUUUUCCCAAACCUCUUCCCUUUGAAAUUCCAGCUCCAGGAGCCCCAGGGACACCCCGGGGAUGCUCAGCACCCACCCGCAGCCGCAGGAAAACAGGGCUGAAGCCUCGGGGCUGCGGAGCCAGUCCCGGAGCAGCCAGGACUGAGUCACCAACCCCAGCGCCCCACAGCCUCGGCGCUUUCCCACAGCUUGGGACUCGUGGGGCUGGAUUUUCCCAGCCCUUCUGGCUUUUCCGGCUGCAGAGCUGCCCUGUGAUGCCAUCUCAGCCGGUUUUACCACCAUGGGCAGCCGUUUCAGGGCUCUGGCAGCCUCCUGGGGUCACAUCCUUGCCGUGGGGGGCUUCUGGGGAGCACAGUCCAGGAGCAUCCUUGCCUGCUGUGGUUUGGACUGGGGCUUGCCGCAGCAGCGGUGGCCUCUGGAGGUGCCACUUGACGGUGCCCCCAGCCCACGUGUGACCUUCCCCUUGCAAAACCACCACGCAGGGAUUUGCCCCAAGGGAGAGCGGGACCAGGGCUGGGAUUUGGAGGGACCUGUGCAUCAAAAGAAGUGGGAUGAGCUCAGCGCCCACCCAAAGCUGAGCUGUCCCAGCCAGCUCCAGGAAGGGGCUUGGCCACAUUUGCCUCCAUUCUUGCGCAACUCGCCCCAGGUACAGGGCCACGGGCAGACCCGCAUGCAUCUGUCGCCAUGCAGUGAGAGGGGGAAGCGAUGCAAAACUCCACCCAACCCCCCAAGGAACAGCCUGCGGAGCAAGAGGCCCCAGGAGCCACUUUGCAGCUUCGAACUCGCUGUUGUCCCCGUGCUCCCAAAUACCAGAGAUUCCUGCUCUAAGCCGCCGGCCCAGACCUGCGAGGCAGGAUUAGCCGGUGCCCUCCGGCUGCUCCGCUCUCUGAAGGAACAGCAAAAACUCCAGCAAAAGAGAGAAGAAAAGAAAAGCCUCUCUUGGGAUCUUUCUUUUUCUUUUCUUCCCCUUUUUCCCCCUUGUUUUCCUAAUUAAAAUGGUGCACUGACAGCGGUUGGUGGCUGCAGUCUCUGGGCUAAUUACA